ncrna:unclassified sequences IMES-1 RNA motif
AUCAGACCGACUUAGAACCAACUCGAGACGAAGAAAGAGAGAGAAAGAUAGGUUAGAGAACGAAAAGUGAAAGCUCUAGAAAACAGCUAGCAAAAAAAGUUUUUUAGACCACCAAGAUUAAAAGAGAAAUUAAUCAAGGAGCUAAACAAAAUCUCAGUUUAGACGCUUUCGAACUCGAACUAAGA